GACGUAGGGCGCGAGCGUUGUCCGGAUUUAUUGGGCGUAAAGAGCUCGUAGGCGGCUUGUCGCGUCGACUGUGAAAACCCGCAGCUCAACUGCGGGCCUGCAGUCGAUACGGGCAGGCUAGAGUUCGGUAGGGGAGACUGGAAUUCCUGGUGUAGCGGUGAAAUGCGCAGAUAUCAGGAGGAACACCAACGGGCGAAGGCAGCUCGCUGGGACGGUACUGACGCUGAGGCGCGAAAGCGUGGGGAGCGAACAGG
rnacentral:rRNA from 1 species